rfam:Salmo salar isolate Sally breed double haploid chromosome ssa13, whole genome shotgun sequence.
UGCAUUCACUACUGUAAGUCGCUCUGGAUAAGAGCAUCUAAUAAAUGACUAAAA